rnacentral:rRNA from 1 species
GAAUUCGCCCUUAGAGUUUGAUCCUGGCUCAGGAUGAACGCUGGCGGCGUGCUUAACACAUGCAAGUCGAACGAGAACUUGAGAGACUGAUUCUUCGGAUGAAGUCCCUUGAGGGAAAGUGGCGGACGGGCGAGUAACACGUGAGCAACCUACCCUUUACAGUGGAAUAACAAUCGGAAACGAUUGCUAAUACCGCAUAACAUAUACCUUAGGCAUCUUCGGUAUAUCAAAGAUUUAUCGGUAAUGGAUGGGCUCGCGUCUGAUUAGGAAGUUGGUGAGGUAACGGCUCACCAAUCCGACGAUCAGUAGCCGGACUGAGAGGUUGAUCGGCCGCAUUGGGACUGAGACACGGCCCAGACUCCUACGGGAGGCAGCAGUGGGGAAUAUUGGGCAAUGGGCGAAAGCCUGACCCAGCGACGCCGCGUGAAGGACGAAGGCCUUCGGGUUGUAAACUUCUUUGGGGAGGGACGAAAAUGACGGUACCUCCAGAACAAGCCACGGCUAACUACGUGCCAGCAGCCGCGGUAAUACGUAGGUGGCAAGCGUUAUCCGGAUUUACUGGGUGUAAAGGGCGCGCAGGCGGCCCCAAAAGUCAGAUGUGAAAGAUCAAGGCUUAACUUUGACAUGUCAUCUGAAACUUUGGGACUUGAGUAUCAGAGGGGAAAGCGGAAUUCCUGGUGGAGCGGUAAAAUGCGCAGAGAUCAGGAGGAACACCGGUGGCGAAGGCGGCUUUCUGGCUGACAACUGACGCUGAGGCGCGAAAGCGUGGGGAGCAAACAGAAUUAGAUACCCUGGUAGUCCACGCCGUAAA